rnacentral:tRNA from 1 species
GCAUCAGUGCCGCAACUGGCAGACGGGGCCGGCUCAAAUCCGGUUUUCUAUGGGUUCGAAUCCCUUCUGGUACA